AUUAACUCGGCACCGCGCUUCGGAGAGGUGCCAUUGACAACAUAGAUGUUAGUGGUAGUUUUAGUAUGUGAUAAAUAAAUUAAAUAAAAAUUAAGUUUUUUCAUUGCUAUGAAUGGACGGUGUUGAUUUCCUUUUGUUUGAAUGGUGUUUUUCUUGGUGAUUCGUUCAAUUCUUGAUGAUUGAUUUAUAUAUUUAUUAAAGGAAACUUAUUUUUAUGCAGAAUUGAAUUGCUGAUUUACAUGCACACAGCUUCUGUUGUUCAAUAAUGGCUGUUGAGACUUCUGAUAAACCAAACUUGCCUAAAAAUGUUGAUGUUGAUGACGAUGAUGAUGAUAUGCCGAUAACUUUUAAGAGAAACCCUAAGAAGAGUCCGUUGUAUUCUGAAGUAAAGAAAACAAGUUCUCAAAGUCAUGAGGGACAGUCAAAAAAACAGAUUACUGACGGGCCUUCUGAUAAACCAAACUUGCCCAAAAAUGUUGACGUUGAUGACGAUGAUGAUGAUAUGCCAGUAUCUUUUAAGAGAAACCCUAAGAAGAGUCCGUUGUAUUCUGAAGUAAAGAAAACAAGUUCUCAAAGUCAUGAGGGACAGUCAA
rnacentral:lncRNA from 1 species